rnacentral:tRNA from 1 species
GCGGUCGGAGGUUCGACUGGAUAGAGUACUCGGCUACGAACCGAGCGGUCGGAGGUUCGAAUCCUCCCGGAUGCACCA